rnacentral:rRNA from 1 species
GCAUAUCAAUAAGCGGAGGAAAAGAAACCAACAGGGAUUGCCUUAGUAACGGCGAGUGAAGCGGCAACAGCUCAAAUUUGAAAGCUGGCCCUUUUAGGGUCCGCAUUGUAAUUUGUAGAGGAUGAUUCGGCGAGGGCUCCUGCCUAAGUCCCCUGGAACGGGGCGUCAUAGAGGGUGAGAAUCCCGUAUGCGGUAGGUUACCUUAGCCAUGUGAAUCUCCUUCGACGAGUCGAGUUGUUUGGGAAUGCAGCUCUAAAUGGGAGGUAAAUUUCUUCUAAAGCUAAAUACCGGCCAGAGACCGAUAGCGCACAAGUAGAGUGAUCGAAAGAUGAAAAGCACUUUGGAAAGAGAGUUAAAAAGUACGUGAAAUUGUUGAAAGGGAAGCGCUUGCAACCAGACUUGUCCGCAGUUGCUCAGCCGGUCUCCUGACCGGCGUACUCUUCUGCGGCCAGGCCAGCAUCAGUUCGGGCGGUCGGAUAAAGGCCUCGGGAAUGUAGCUCCUCUCGGGGAGUGUUAUAGCCCGGGGUGGAAUGCGGCCAGCCUGGACUGAGGAACUCGCUUCGGCAAGGAUGCUGGCGUAAUGGUUGUAAGCGGCCCGUCUGAAACACGGACCAA